AGCAAACACACCUGUACUUUCCAUUUUCAUCUCGUUUCGCCGCCUUUUACUUAUCCCAUCUUCCCUCGACUGCGCUCUCUCUCCCCCUUCUCUCGCGCGGCAACUGGGCCAUCGCCGCCACCCCUACCCAGGUCUUCGUCGGUCGCUUCGCCAGCCGCCAGGUCUUCGUCGGCCCAUCCCCCGGUCUUCGUCCUUCAAUCCUCCGGCGACGAGCACCCACCAGAGGCUGGGAACUCCAAAGAGGAACAGGGUCCAUGGCUGGAGGCGCAGGAAAUGGUUCGAACGAGGCGGUGCAGGCAAAGGGGAGUGGGGGUGAUAGCUCCGCCGCCAAGCCGCUGCCCCCUUGCUGCGUCAAGGCGAGAGCGGCGGCGCCCGAGUCUGAGGCCAAGUGCCAUGCCACCGUGGUUUCGGGAUGGUUCACCGAGCCACGAUCACACUGCGGUAAAGCCAGCAAGGUUCAGUAUUACAAUAACCCAAUGUGGCCAGGAGAGGCCCAUUCCUUGAAAGUGGAGAACAUAUUGUACCAGGGGAAAUCACCAUACCAGGAAGUCCUGGUCUUUGAGUCGUCAACCUAUGGGAAAGUCCUUGUGCUUGAUGGUAUUGUUCAAUUGACUGAUAAGGAUGAAUGUGCGUACCAGGAAAUGAUUACUCACCUCCCACUCUGUUCAAUUCCAUCCCCUAAAAAGGUUUUGGUUAUUGGUGGUGGUGAUGGAGGUGUACUUCGAGAGAUUUCCAGACACAGUUCAGUGGAGUCUAUUGACAUAUGUGAAAUUGAUCAGCUGGUUAUUGAUAUCUGCAAGGAAUUCUUCCCACAUUUGUCUGUUGGAUUUGAAGAUCCUCGUGUUCAACUUCAUGUUGGUGACGCUGUGGAGUUCUUGAGAAAUGCUCCUGAAGGGACAUAUGAUGCUAUCAUUGUUGAUUCAUCUGACCCAAUAGGGCCUGCUCAGGAACUUGUGGAGAAGCCUUUUUUUGAGACCAUCGCUAGAGCUUUGAGGCCUGGUGGUGUUCUUUGUAAUCAAGCUGAGAGUAUGUGGUUGCAUACACAUUUGAUUCAGGACAUGCUUUCAAUUUGCCGUGAGACUUUCAAGGGUUCUGUCCGCUAUGCAUGGGCUAGUGUCCCAACAUACCCGAGUGAACUGGUGGCAGCGCUGGUUCAUUUGCCAGUCAUAGGAUAUUUCAGGCUUUAGCUCAACUCAUGCGAGGAACCAGUCAUAGCCUGACAAACCAUUAUGGGGUGAUUGGGUUUCUGUUAUGCGCCAAGGAUGGCCCACCGGUCAACUUUCUGACUCCUGUAAAUCCAAUUGAAGAAGUGGAAGGAGCUACUAAAGCGGGAAGGGAGAUCAGGUUUUAUAAUUCAGAGAUGCAUAUGGCAGCGUUUGUUCUUCCGACAUUUGCCAAGAGGGAGCUAGAAGCAUACUGUGCUUCCACGGAAACGGAGCAGGCGGAGGAAGUAGCGGCCACGGCACCACAAAAGCUAACUGCGGCGCCCAAGCGUGGAAUUACCACCGCAUCCUAGCUGUUGGAUACACACAUAGCCAUGUACUAUUAUUAUCACGCACGUAAUCUAAGCAUCGAAGUCGAGUGCGUGCGUGUUGGGUGGGGGUACGCGCAUCGCGGUUUGACGCGCGAUGUAUUUGAUAAUAAUUCGUGCUCCGAGGUACCAACAAGCAACGAUGAGAGAAGCAUUCCACCUUUACACUCCCCUUUUAGGUCUGGAUACUCAUUAUUGAUCUCAAUCCACAUGAGUUGAGGUGGAUUGGGGGUGUUUAACAGGGCUUUUUGGUUUGAAAGAGAUUAGAGAGGAUUAAAUUUCUUUCUAUACAAAUUUGUAUAUGAGAUUUAAUUUUUCUCAAUACACCCUUAAUCGAACAAACCCUUAGUAGAUCAGCCAGAUGAUCUAUGCUAUGAUAUAUAUAUAACAUGCUCAAGUGUUUUGUGAUAA